UGUGUCCCGAGUCUAAAUUAUUUAGACCUUGUCUACAUAACCUACCAAAGAGCGUUUUGGCCCCGCCUGCCCCUCCCCAGAGGACACGGCAGUGGCGCUGAGGGGCCUGGGUGGAUCUUAAGGAAAACUGAGCCACAGGCCACUGCCCCCCAACACCUUCAGCUGCUUCUGCCUCAAGGGGGAUGCUGCCCUCUGUUUCUGCACGGUUCUGAGAAUCACAACGGGGACUGACCUGUGGAAGCCAUGAUUGACCAACCACAUCAGCAUUAGAAAGGGUUCUCUUGGCUGGGCGAGUGCAAGGUGGAGCUCAGAGAGACGCCUGGAGGAUGAGGCGGCACGGGCAAACCUCAGGGCAUCGUGGGCUCAGUUCCAGAGGCCACAGCACAGUGGUGAUCACAACAAAUGCAGCCACACACACUUUUUGGUUUCCUAGUGCAUGUCAAAUGUAUGUUUACACUACACUGCGGCCUAAUAAAGUGUGAUAGUGAUAGCA